rnacentral:rRNA from 1 species
GUGAGGAAUAUUGGUCAAUGGGCGAGAGCCUGAACCAGCCAAGUAGCGUGAAGGAUGAAGGCUCUAUGGGUCGUAAACUUCUUUUAUAUGGGAAUAAAGUUUUCCACGUGUGGAAUUUUGUAUGUACCAUAUGAAUAAGGAUCGGCUAACUCCGUGCCAGCAGCCGCGGUAAUACGGAGGAUCCGAGCGUUAUCCGGAUUUAUUGGGUUUAGAGGGAGCGUAGGUGGAUUGUUAAGUCAGUUGUGAAAGUUUGCGGCUCAACCGUAAAAUUGCAGUUGAAACUGGCAGUCUUGAGUACAGUAGAGGUGGGCGGAAUUCGUGGUGUAGCGGUGAAAUGCUUAGAUAUCACGAAGAACUCCGAUUGCGAAGGCAGCUCACUAGACUGUCACUGACACUGAUGCUCGAAAGUGUGGGUAUCAAACAGGAUUAGAAACCCGAGUAGUCC